rnacentral:rRNA from 1 species
AUUGAACGCUGGCGGCAGGCUUAACACAUGCAAGUCGAGCGGAGAUGAGGUGCUUGCACCUUAUCUUAGCGGCGGACGGGUGAGUAAUGCUUAGGCAUCUGCCUAUUAGUGGGGGACAACAUUCCGAAAGGAAUGCUAAUACCGCAUACGUCCUACGGGAGAAAGCAGGGGAUCUUCGGACCUUGCGCUAAUAGAUGAGCCUAAGUCGGAUUAGCUAGUUGGUGGGGUAAAGGCCUACCAAGGCGACGAUCUGUAGCGGGUCUGAGAGGAUGCUACUGCACACUAGUACUUGGACACGUCCAAGACUGCUACGGGAGGCAGUAGUGUGGAAUAUUGGGUAAUGGGGGGAACCCUGAUACGGCCAGGCAGCGUGUGUGAAGAAUGCCUUAUGGUUGUAAAGCACUUUAAGCAUGGAGGAGGCUACUAAGACGAAUACUCUUGGAUAGUGGACGUUACUCGCAGAAUAAGCACCGGCUAACUCUGUGCCAGAAGCCGCCGUAAAAC